rnacentral:sRNA from 1 species
ACUGGGUGUGGUGGUGCACACCUGUAAUCCCAGUGGCUUGAGAGGCUGAGGCAGGAGGAUUGAGAGUUCAAAGCCAGCCUCAACAAGGGCGAGUCACUAAGCAAUUCAGUGAGACCCUGCCUCUA